UUUUCCCAGUCAUUGCAAGAUUUCCAGUUUGAAUGUAUUGGUGAUGCUGAAACAGAUGAUGAAAUUAGUAUUGCUCAGUCACUAAAAGAAUUUGCAAGACUACUCAUUGCAGUAGAAGAAGAAAGGCGAAGACUGAUCCAAAACGCUAAUGAUGUAUUAAUUGCACCACUUGAGAAAUUUCGAAAAGAACAGAUAGGUGCAGCAAAAGUAAGUGUUACAUUUUAUUAUUCUUCAGUUAUUCUCCUGAUAAUUAAAGAUGACAUAAUUUCAGAUGUUAACAUUUUUGAAAUUAGAAUGACCUUUUAAAAGAUUUUGUACAUCAUUUAAAACUUUUUGCAUAGAGACUUACAAAGACUGGACUUCUUUUAGACAUAAAAGAUGUUAUUAUUCUACUGAGUAGAUAAAAAGCAUGUUAUAAAUGAGUUCUUCCUUUCCCAAAAAUUAUAGGAAAUUAAUGAUUUUGAAGACACAGUGAAAUUAUGAGGAGC
rnacentral:sRNA from 1 species